rnacentral:lncRNA from 1 species
UAUCUUAGAGUCAUUAACAAAUAUUAUGUUUAUCACUAUUAUGUGUGUUUUUCAAACAUGUCCACAUUUCUAUUUAAUUGUUUUAACUUUGUUUAUUUGUCCAGGCUUUAGCUUUGGCUUUAGCUUACUUUAGCUUUGUUCACUUUGCACCUGAAAUAAAAAGAACCGCAACACAACGGAUGGUGUGAUGUGUCGUAAUUCUCUACCAGUUUCCGCGUGUGAUCGGCGAUGUUACAAAUGGCGUAAUCGGCAGGGAUUUCAUCACUGCAAGUGCAAGCCCUGGCUUUCUGUGGAGCUUCUAGUUUUGGGACAACUUGAUCGGACAUGGACGUCUGGAGACCUGUAAAUAUUGACGUAGAUUUAAGUUGUAGCGAUUUUGUGUAUUGUAUGAAUGUUUGUUGCUAAGCUAGUGUGAAGUUUAGUAAGGAGCUACGUUGUGUUUGUUUAGGGUAAUUUUCUUGAAAUUAUCUUGUAAUGGAAUACUUUAAUGCAUUCAGUUUAAAUUGUUUGGGGGAAAUUAAGGAGUAAUACUAUUCAUAUGUUGUUGAGACUGUCAUGAUAAUACUGUGUUUGGAACAAUCCAUACCCCCUUUCGUAUUUAAUUUCGGCUGGUUGGAUGGAGCCUCAAAUUAAGGGAAGGCAUACAAAGACACCGGUAUUUUAUAAUAUUGAUAGGAGGGAUAGCAGUACAUGUAGGUGUAGAGCAGGUAUGAAGCUCUAGCUUUAUUACUUAUGAAUAGUUGGAAUAUUCCUUUAUUUGAACUUGUAAAUUGUUGAUAUUUAAAGUUCGGCAAGACAUUUGUUAAGUUUUGGUAACUUAGGUAAGUUAGGUUGUAGCAUGUUUAUUACAUUCAUUGAAUUGAUAUGCACGGUGGAUAUCUUUUUUAGUUUUAGAGACUGCUUUUGGAAAAGCAGGGGAGCCCAUGAACGUGACAUGUUGUUUAAUUUUGGGUCAGCAAUUCGGAGUAACUAUGUGUUGUGUAAUGGAUAUUGUAUUGUUUUAUACUGAGAUUUCUGGUAUGUAACUGGGAUUUGGCUGGAAUUACUGUUGGACUUAGCCUGGAUAGUGUAUUUAAUGUUUAUUCCGAAAACCUCGACAUGAGACCGGAAUCAUUCAUGGAAGAAAUACUGGGGCGACUUCUAGGAACAGUAGGGUUUAUCUCUCUAUCUUUGUUUUUCUGUUAACCUCGUAGAGAGGCCGGAAAGGGCACAUUGGUAGCGGAGAGGAUUAGUCAAAAGUUAUAAGAUUUCUUUGUAUAUUUCAAUGUCGAAUGUUUGUAUCUUAAUUAGGAGUUUAUUGAGAUGUGAAAGGAAUAUCCAUAGGGCAAGGUUGUUACGAAAUACAGUUGACAGUUUUACUGGUGUAUUUGCUAGAGUGUGUAAAUGUAGUAUAAGGACGAUUAUUGUUUGUGUGUGUUUAAAAUGACACAGCGUAGAAUAAUUGGGUAUAUACCGUGAAAAUCAUCUGGCUUGUUAGAGAUGCCUGUAUAUUGAAGAUUUAUGUUGAUAACUAAGGUUUGGCAGUAGAGACUCUGGAACUGUUAUGAUCAGUUUGGUAGUACUUAGAUAAUUUGUGAAUGCUAGGAGCCUCGACAUGAGACCAGUAUUACAUAAUAAGGAGUGCUAGAAUGACUGAAACAGUUGAGUUUUUGCACUAGAUAUGUUUUCUGUGAUUCUCGUCAUGAGAUCAGAAAGUUCGUAUUAGUGGUGCGGGUUGGCCAAUAAUGUGUUAUGAUUUCAAUUUUUAUAUUCUGUAUUACGCGAGUAGAUUUUUAAUCACAUGAUUAAUUUUGAUUUGCAUAUGUAGGCGUCGGUAUUAGGAUCAGGAAACAGCCACGAUGGGGAAAAGGUAUAGUGGGAAUUAAAUAUUAUUUUGUUGUAGUCUGAGUGUCGGGACGACACUCAAUUAAGCAGGGGAGUGUGUAACAGGUCAGAAUUGAACUGUUUUAUAGUGAAACAUAUACAUCCAUUUCUAAUCAAUAUCUCCUCAGGAGGAAAGUAAGAAGUUUAUAUGUUAACAAACUUUGUACUUCAAAGAAGUAUGACUCACACAUAUUCCAAGUAGAAGCUAUCAAUUUGGCCAAAACAUGACAUUCCACAGCUAUGAGAGAGUUAAUGAUGUACGGUCACUUGGUCAAAGGUUGGUAACUCGACCCCCCCCCCCCUUCCAGAACACUUGUAACAACUUAGCCAAACAAACCCCAAAUUGUAAACAUCGGAUAAGAACCCCAAACUCCCAAAACAAAAGACUUCCUGUCUCCCUCCCAAUAACAAGACCCUUUACCAGAACAGGUUAUGUGUAGUAGCUAUACCACCGUGAGAGUAUAGCUGUUAUAAAAGAAGGCAGAGGUAUUUGUGAGAUUCACUCCUGUACUGCACCCCAUCCAUGGGGCAGGCAGGGAGGUCGACUCUGCAAGCUUUUGGUGUUACAUGUCAUUAGGUAAGAAGAUUAUUCUUUUGUUAAGUUGGAUAAUUAUUGAGAUAAUUAGUACUUUUGUAGAUGUAUUCUGAUGUUAGUUAAUAACCUUGGUAUCGUUCUCAACGAUAUAGUUUGUGUUGAAUUAAUAUGCAUUAUGUAAGGUGUGGCAUAUUAUUUGUUUGAUCAUUAGUAUAGGUUGAUUUCGUUAGUGAGUUAAGCACUAGAUUAGGAUUUGGUAAUAGUAAUUUGAGAUGAUUUGAAUAUUACUAUGUUAUCUUUAGGAGUUUUAGUUAUAUAAUGUGUUGUUGAGUUUAACUCUGGAUAAUCGUAUUUUGCAAGACAGUUGUAAUUUAAAGUAAUGUUUUAAGAGUUAACAGUUAACGGAUAUAAUCUGAACCUUUUUCAGUUUGGUGUUUUAGAGUCAAAUUUACAAUGAUUUGUAUUAAUUAUUAUUCCUUCAGGUGUUGACAAAUUGCAAUCAACAUGUGAGAAGUGGGAACGAGAGGAAACGGUCCUCUAGGCCAGAUUGCCAGGGCUUUAGCUUUGGCUUUAGCUUACUUUAGCUUUGUUCACUUUGCACCUGAAAUAAAAAGAACCGCAACACAA